rnacentral:rRNA from 1 species
GUUGAACGCUGGCGGUAGGCCUAACACAUGCAAGUCGAACGGCAGCACAGUAAUAGCUUGCUCUUACGGGUGGCGAGUGGCGGACGGGUGAUGAAUACAUCGGAAUCUACUUUUUCGUGGGGGAUAACGUAGGGAAACUUACGCUAAUACCGCAUACGACCUACGGGUGAAAGCAGGGGAUCUUCGGACCUUGCGCGAUUGAAUGAGCCGAUGUCGGAUUAGCUAGUUGGCGGGGUAAAGGCCCACCAAGGCGACGAUCCGUAGCUGGUCUGAGAGGAUGAUCAGCCACACUGGAACUGAGACACGGUCCAGACUCCUACGGGAGGCAGCAGUGGGGAAUAUUGGACAAUGGGCGCAAGCCUGAUCCAGCCAUACCGCGUGGGUGAAGAAGGCCUUCGGGUUGUAAAGCCCUUUUGUUGGGAAAGAAAAGCAGCAGGUUAAUACCCCGCUGUUCUGACGGUACCAAAAGAAUAAGCACCGGCUAACUUCGUG